AUCAUAGUCCCAUAUGGAAAAUAAAUCUCCAUUUUUUUUGGUUGCCAUUGACUCUGGUUGAACUUUUCUUUUCUUCCACCAAAGGCAGGCUAACCCAAGUAUUAAGGUUACAAAAACCAAGGUGAGGAGCAAAGGGGUGAUAAUGGUGUGCUGGGAUGUUGUGUCUCUGGUUGGAACUUGGGCACCCGUCUUCUCUCCUCCAUUGUGAACGAAAGGUGUAUAACCCUCCAAAUCAUCAUUGUGGGAUAAAUCAAGUUUCUCCCAGUCGCUAUUGUUGGUGAGAAAGGGCGGGAUUUUGCCUGAUAGUCUAUUAUACGAGAGAUCUAAGCACUCUAAUCUCUUUAAUUUUUUUAGCUUGGAAGGUAUCUCUCCACUGAUUAAGUUACGAUGAAGGUCCAAAGAGACUAGAUCCUUAAUAUUUCCAAUUUCUGGAGGGAUAGAUCCAUUUAUUUGAUUCAUACAAAGGUUCAAAGAAGUCAACUUAGUGAGAGAGCCUAAAGAUGAAGGCAUGGCACCAGUGAGUUCACUCCAAGAGAGGUCAAGGUAGGUGAGUUCUGUGAGAGUACCUAUUUGGUGUGGGAUGCUACCACUGAGUUGAUUAUUAGAAAGAUCAAGAUGGGUGAGUUCUGUGAGAGUAUACAUUUGGUGUGAGAUGCUACCAUUGAGUUGAUUAUAAGAAAGAUCAAGGUGGGUGAGUUUAGUAAGAUGGCCUAAAGAUGAAGGGAUGGCACCAGUGAGUUCAGUCCAAGAGAGGUGAAGGAAGAUGAGUUCUGUAAGAGUACCUAUUGGGUGUGGGAUGGGGCCAGUCAGUUGAUUAGAAGAAAGAUCAAGAUGGGUGAGUUUAGUAAGACGGCCAAAAGAUGAAGGGAUGGCACCAGUGAGUUCAUUCCCAGAGAGGUGAAGGAAGAUGAGUUCUGUAAGAGUACCUAUUUGGUGUGGGAUGGGGCCAGUCAUUUGAUUAGAAGAAAGAUCAAGAUGGGUGAGUUCUGUGAGAGUAUACAUUUGUUGUGGGAUGUUACCAUUGAGUUGAUUAUAAGAAAGAUCAAGAUGGGUGAGUUUAGUAAGACUACCUAUUUCGUCUGAUAUGCUACCAUUGAGUCCCAUUCCAGAAAGGAUGAGAAAAUUGAGGCUGGGAAGUGAAGAAAGAUUUAAUUUACUAAGCUCACCCAGGGGUAGGAGUACUUGGUAACCGUGUAGGCUUAUCUCAGUGACAUGUUUGGCCUCAUUACAAGUUAUGCCCGACCAACUGCAAUGGUUAGAGGUAGCUGGGUGGCUCCAUAUCCACCAACCGGAGUUGCGCAGAGCGUCAGCCUCAGCCACAACCUGUGAGUGAUCAGUAGAUGAAUGAGUUGAAGCAGCAUGAGUCAUUGACACCGUGUGCACCACCAGCAGCAGCAGCACCGCCACAACACUAGAUACCACACACUCCAUUUUUCCCAUUUGAUAUUUGUCUCACUUCAUACAUCCCACCAUCCCCGCUUUAUACUGUGACAUUGGUGUCUAUGCCAACUCUUCCCGGAAGCAUAUCAAGUCAAGCAAGUCUUCUUUGGAAUUCUUUUCAAAUAGAAAAAAUUAAAAAUUAAAAAAAAAAUCACACAAAACAAAAACAAACAAGAAACUUGCUUUUCCAUGAUCAUGUAGCAUAUUUGUACCUGUGAAUCCUUUCGGCAUAUUUUCAUCUAAAUUCUUGAUUUUCACAUCUUGUAAGCAAUCUAAAAUGAUAUUUAUGAUUAACAUUUCUAUUUCCAAGUUUCAGAUAGGCAUAUCUAAUAAGGAUAGUUUUGAAAAACUGAAGGCUCAUUUGAGAACUGAAGUUUACAUGAAGUGACCAAAUGUAAAGCCAAAAUAUUAGGGUAACUGAUAUGUGGUCCAGGAAAAGGUAAGGAAAUGGGAACAUGGAAAGCAUUUUCCAUGAAAAAUAAUGAUAUGUUGACUGUUGACUGUUGACAAUAAACAUCAUAGAAUUGAAACAAAUCUCGAGUGAAACCUUUCUGCUAGCUAAUUGGUAUAUAUUAAGUUCUGAGAUGUUUUGAUAGGGAAAUCCUCACUUGUUACCCAACACACCACAAGAGGAGGCAAUGAGUUUAUUGCCCUCUUUAAUUCAAAAUAGGACAGUCCUUGAACCAUUUAGUGCUUGAUUUGCAUUUCAACAUGCAUACUAGUCUCCAUCCAAUCUAAGAGGUAAUAGAUAAAUGGUCAAAUUUAACCAUGAUUUAAAUUAGAUUAUCUAGCACCCCACUACUUACAAGCUAAAGAACUUUAAUCACACAUGAAACUAGACUAUUUGAUCCAAUCGAUGUGACAUUAUAAUUGAAAUUGUUUAAAUAGUAUGUAAUCAUGAAAAUGGGACUUGAUUCUCAUUCACAUGUGGGAAUGUUGACCCAAAAGCAAGCUAAGGAGUCAAAAAGAUACUUCAAUCUUCUUUCGGCUAGACCCAAAAGCAAGUCAAAGAUACUUUUAAUCUUCUUUCGGCUUGACCCAAAAGCAAGUCAAGGAGUCAAAAAGAUGCUUUCCCCCUUUUGACAGCUCUGGUUUUCUUCAUACGAGAAAGAACAUAAAGAAUGAAACCAUUUUGUAGCGAUUCCUUGAAAACCAUAGAAAUUGCUUUUUUAUUUUUAUUUUUUCAAACGGAGAUUUUUUUGUCUCCAUUUUGACACUCCAAGCUCUAAAUCCAAGCUAUAAAUAAACAAAUUCACGAAAAAAGAAGAUAAUAAAAAUUUUGAAUUGUUCCCUUUUUAUUUGGUUUUAGACUCAACAUUUUGAUGACCAUAACCCUCUUAACUUUCCAACAACAUGCAAUAAUUUGAAAGACUGGGAAUUUAUCUUUAGACAUAGAUUGAGAUCCAAUCUAAAAAUGGUUCUAACCUAUAACAAUAUGUCAUUAUUUGCCUCUCCAUGGAAGAUUAGAGUGAAUAUUUGGAUUCCAUUGAAUACAGUGAAGAGUAUGGAUAGGGGUUAGUUUGGUAGUCAACUUUAAGUCCAUGAGGAUUCAAACAAGGAGGAAGAUUAUUAAGUGGGUCAAGUAAAUUAUAGAUGACAUAUCUUUAUACCCAAUUUUCUAAACCAUGUGGUACGUGCAGAAACCUUACAGGUCAAUAUUUUUUGAUCUUCAAAAUUUCAAGUAAGGUGUUACUUGCUCUCAGUUAUACAUUUUUAAACAUUGCAGGACAAAAUGAUAGAUAUGAGAGACAAUAGCCACAAAUUUUUCCACAUCAACCUUUUAAUAAUAGCAUCUUUUUGUUCUCAUAUAUUUCAAGCAUCAAUGGGUAACCAGGGGGCACCAAAGAAGACUUCAUUAGAUAGAGACAGACAUAUGGUUUCCACGACCCACUCAAGAUGCUGAAACAAAUGGUUACACCAUUAUAGAAACUUGCCGAGUUAAGCAAUAAUUGGAAAUUUUGUGGAACGUUCUCCCCAAGUUUACUAAUAAUAAAUAUAGACAUAUUCCAACCAUGGAAGGAAAUUGUUGUCCACAAUGGUGGAAAAGUCCUGUUGUUUUGUGGUUGAAUUCUCCUACCAACAGCCUUAAGUAACUUGAGAAAUAUUAUUCACAAUAAAGAAAAUAAAAAAUAAGUUUAAACUUAAAUUAUUUUUAUAUCCUAUUUCAAAUUUAUUUUAUUUAUUUAAUUUUUCUACAUAAAGAUUGAAUAAUUUAAAAAUGUAAUUUUUUUUUUACUAUUUCUAAAUAUAUUUUAUUUUAUUUUAUAUUUUCUAUAAUAAAAUCUAAUAGGAAAAAAUCAUUUUCCUUAAUAAUAUUUUUUUCUUUAGUACUUUUCAUGAACCAAAUAUAACAUUAAAGUCAUGACGUAGAAUAAUUAUUAGACUAAUAAAAAAGAUUAAUGCAACAAUAUUUCCUUUGAUUUGAUGUCAAAAGCUCUCAAAAUAUUGAUUUAACCUGUAUAUCAUAACAAAUAAUCAGUAGUCUAUAAAUAAAGUACUUGAUGGUUUUAAUAAUUUUUUUGGAAUAGUAUGUUGGCUUCUUUGUUGUUACUUCAUUUUUCAAGAAAAAUCUUGUAAUUUGACAUAUUAGCAAGGUUGUGAGGAAAAAAAAAAGCAUUUCUUAUUUUUCUUUAGUUACAUCAAUGUCCUAUUUAAACAAAUAAGUACGUAGAAAGCUUGAUAGGUCAAAUAAAUUAUAAAGGACCUACUAUUUUCAAUACAUGCAUUUUUCUAAAUCAUGUGAUAGACUUAGAAAAAUUAUAUGUCAACACUUCUUUGUUGGACCUUCUAAGAUUCCUAAUAACGUGUUAUUUACUCUCAAUAAUGCAAGACUUUUGGAUAUCACACAAAUUUCCACAUGUAUAUACCUUAGUUUUUCUACAACAUCUAGCAUCAUUUUCAUUCUUAUAGAUGAAUUGAUGAAGUAUUAAAUGAUUAUGUUUAUCAAUAUUAAGUUACAAAUGAUGUAGAUAUAUAAUUAGGAUAAAAGCCAUAUUUUUGGUUUAUGCAACCAUUCUUGAGUUGCUAAUAUACAAAACACCUUCAAUUGGUUUUAAAAUAUGUUUUUUUAGGUCAAAUUUUCAGAUAUCAAAUUCGAGAUUUAAGUCUAUUUGGAUCGACUUCCAAGAAGUUAAAACUCUUUUUUUAAGCUUUCACUAAUUUUGUUCAAAGGAUUUAUCACUUUAAAAAAACAAAAAUAGCAUAGAAGUAACAAAAAUAUUGUUUUUUGUAAUAGCUUUAUUUUGGUUUAUAUAAAAGUUCUUUUACUUUUAAUAAAAAUUUUAUUGUACUAAUAUUAUUCUUUCAAAAAUUGUAAUUUUGACUCCAACUUCAAUUUCUAAUUAAAACCAAAAAUAAGAAAUUAUUUCAAAUGAAAACUAAUUGGUCAAAAUGUAUGGACACUAAUUAUCCUUUUUUUCAAUGUUCCAAGGGUACCAUAAAAUAGCAGGAUAACAUAAAUUAAAAGAAUAAAUUUAUUUUCAAGUAAAAUAAUAAAGGAUUAUAAGCCACAAAAGAGCCUCUAAACCUUCCUUGAAAAUAUCAUUAUUCUGUUGUGUUAUAAGGGAUUUAUAGUCAUCACAAUUGCUAAAGUUAAAAAAAAAGGCAAACAUAAAUAUAAUUGGCUUGUAGAACAUUUUGCAGGUAAGGACAAGCUCAUCAUCAACAGAUGACUCUAUGGGCACCAAAAAUUAAAGACAAGGACUUCAUUGGAUAAAGACAUGCCUAUAUUUUCCAAAGUCCAUUCAAUGUGUUCACAUGGGAAAAUUUUGGCAAGUACUUAAGCAAGACUUAGAAAUUUCAUGGAAGUUGGCCGUGAGUUUAAUUACUAGGAAAUGGGGUGUACCGUCCAUUUAAAUCUUGUAUCCUUUGCUCCGAAUAAUGCAUUUUUCAAAGAGCAUAUAGUCAAAUAUAAGACCAUAUGUAUAUGAUAGGAUUCAAAGCUAGUUUGGGUAUUUAUUUAUCAAAUAGAUGCAUGUGACAUUGGAAUUGAAUUGCUUAAAUAAUAUACAUUAUGAAAACUAAGUAUGAUUCCCACUAAAAAAAAAUGGGAAUAUUGAGCACCCAAAAGCAAGCCAAGGAGUCAAAAGGAAAUAUCUCUCUUUGAAUGACCCUCCGAAGGUUUCUUAAUUUGAGAAAGAAUACAAAUAAUAAAACAAUUCUGUAGUGAUUCCUUGGUGACAAUUGGAAAUGGUCAUUUUUUCUGCUUUUGUUUUUUGUUUUCUCUUGCACUCCAACCUCUAAAUAUAAGGUAAAUAGGCAAAUCCAUCAAAACAAAGAAGAUUAAAAAAAAAAAAGUCCAAAUUGUUCCUUUUUCUUCUUUUAAAUUUGGUUUUAGAUUUUGCAUUUUCAUAUUCAUAACCUGCAACUAAGCUCCCAAUUAUAUGUAAUAAUUUGAGUUAGUGGGAAUAAUAAUUUUUUGACAUACAUUAAUCAAAUUCAAAUCCAAUCCAUAAGUGAUUUUGACGACUCAUUCCAUGGAUGGUAUAAGGAAACAUUAUUCCUUAAUUUAAAGGAAAAGGAAAUACACAAAAGCAACCUUUCAUAUAUCAACCUUAAUGGCUAUUAAUAUAUAAUUUAAGGAUUUUGAAGCAUUUUUUUAGCAAUAUCAUAGCUUAAGAAUUCACAACAAUCCAAAUUAGCAUCAACAAUUAUAUCCUUAAUUAAUUUUCUAGGAAAAAUUAAGGUGCUAUAUUCUUGUUAUCCCUAUAUCAUUAUAACUUUCUAAAGAAAAACAUAAAGACAUGGAUUAUUGAUAAUUACCACACAUGAUGAAAAGAAUAUCUUCUUUAUGACAUCUGCAUCUUUAUUAUAGCCUCCAAACACAAUGAAGAAACAAAAAAAUAACAAGCACAUGUUGGAAACAUGAAAACAAGAAAAACUAAUUUUAUAUAAUAUAUAUACAAGUUGUUAAAUUACAUUUCUUGAUUCUUCAAUUCAUGGAGGGAAAUUGCAUAAAAUGGUGACUUAGGAAAUGGUAUGUUACUAAGAAGUUUGUAGGAUACUUGUUGCAUUGUUGGACGAGAUUGCGGAUUUGAAUGGAUGCAUUUGAGAGCCAAAAGUAUCACAAAAACUACAUCUUUAGCAACUUGAAGAUCUUCAGGAAGUGAUAGACGUGAAUCUAAUACAUCCCUCAACAUUAUAUCCUGACAUAACGAUGAUGAUAAUGAGGUGAUAAGUUCUCCAGGAUGCUUCCCUAUCAUUGUCUCUAGUGCCACCACCCCAAAGCUAUAUACAUCACAUUUUUCGGUCACAACCAUUGUGCAGGCAAGCUCUGUUAUAUACCAAAUAAGAAAUAAAUAUUGUACUCAUGAGAAAACAAAAUUUAAUUAGCAACUAUGAUCAAGAUUUAACUUAAUGGCAUGUAUUCUUAAUUAAAGUGUUGUCAUUCUAAUUCAUCUUCCCAUAAGAAAUUACCAAAAUGUUGACUCUUCAUCCUCCCUAAUUAAAGGAUAAGUUAAUCAAAUAAUAGACAAUAAUUGAGGCAAUUUCAAAAUAAAUUUAAUUGUAAAAUAUUAUUAUACAAAAUUAUCGAUUACUAUAUGAAACAAAGUUUCAUUUCACUAUCAAAUACAAUAAUUAGGGAACUUGAUUUUACAAAUGAAUUAAAUCUAUUUCAUCAAGUUAAAUAGAAAAUUUGUGGAAACAAUAUAACCAAUUUCUUAAAACAUUUAAAAAACUAUGAAUUUGUUUAUAAAAAAAAUGGUGAGAAAUAUGUUAUUUAUUGAUAUCUCUUAGUCUAUUGUUCUAAAAGUCUUUUCUUUUUACUAUACAUGGGAAAAAAUUUUUUAUGUAUUUCUUAAAACAUCUAAAGAACCAUGAAAAUAUUAAAGAAAUUGGUGAGAAAUAUAUUAUUUACAAACAUCUCUAACUCUAAUAUUCUCAACCCUUUUCUUUCUAUUAUAUAUGAUAAAAAUAUUUCCUAAGAGUUUCUAUAAUAUGACUACCAUAAGUUAUUUUUGAAUUUCUAUUAUGAUGUUUCUAAGUUUCUAGAGAAAUCUUAAAUUUUCUCUUAUUCAUCGCUUCUCAAAACAACAAAAGAAAGGAAAGAAUAGAUGAAAUACUAAUAAGGUAUGUAUGCAAAUUAAAGUAGAAAAUAUAAUAAGGUAUGAAUAUGCUUACCCGGUGCAAUGUAGCCAUAGGUGCCAACAACAAGGGUUUGAUUGGACGAAUCGGGGUCUAAUAAUCUCGCUGUACCAAAAUCUGAUACGAAACCCUCAAGUUUUGAAUCUAAAAGGAUGUUAUUACUUGAUAUGUCCCGAUGAAUGAUUGGUGGGAUACAAUCAUGAUGCAUGUAGGAUAAUGCAUGGGCCAUAUUUUUAAAAAUAUUCACCCUCUUAACCCAAUCCAAUUCAACAGCCUCAACCUCAUCGCUCAGCAUAGAAUACAAGCUUCCCCUUUCCAUGUACAUAUAAAUGAGAAACAUGUACCUAUUAUGUAGACAAUAACCAUGAAGUUUGACAAUGUUUCGAUGUCGUAUUUGUUCUAACAUCCGCACCUCAUUCUUAAAACUUCUCAAGUAUGUCGGCUCGUCUAUUUCUGAUCGAUGAAGUUUCUUCACAGCAACCACUUUUCCACUGGGCAGUUGUGCUCUAUAAACACUGCCAUAGCCUCCAACACCUAUGCAAUAUCUGAUAUCGAAAUCCUCUGUUGCCAAGAUGAUGUCUUCAAAAGCAAUUCUCCCAUCAUAGUCCCAUAUGGAAAACAAGUCUCCUCUUCUUUUUUUUACUGGCAUUGACUCUGGUUGAAGUUGUCUUUUCUUCCACCAAAGGCCAAAAGCGAACCCCAGUAUCAAGGCUACAAAAAACAAGGUGAGGGGCAAAGAGAUGAUAAGGGUGAGUGAGGUUGCGUGUCCUCCAGUGCAAAUGGAGUAACCUGGAUGACCCUCCAAAUCAUCAUUUUGGGAUAAAUCAAAUGUUGUUUGGUUGCAAU
rnacentral:lncRNA from 1 species